UAAUUCGGCGAUAUUCAUUUCAUUUCUCUUCCGUUAUUUCUUUCUCUAUCUCUCCCUGUUACUCCUAUCUUCAUCUCUCUCCGGUGAAACUGAUGGAACAGAGAAAAACAGAUCCAGAGAAUUCAAAAAUCAAACCUAAACUAGUUUUUUUUUAAACUUCAUUUCACUAUUACAAGAUUCAAAAAAUCGAAAUCUGUAAAAAAACUAAACAAAAAUAGGGUUUGUUAUCGAAAUCAUUUUGAUGUUUACUGUAACUUUCGUAUUUAACAGUUGCAUGUGAUGAAUUCAAUAUAUUGAUGCACGGAAUCUGAUGGUAUUGAUGCUAAAACUCAACAAAAAUAGCUUCAAAGUUGUAGCCGUUAUGAAGACGUGUGUUUGUAUACGAAGACAUUAAGUUGUUGUCGUCUAAUGGAAGUGAGCCACGAAGAAGUUGCUUCUAAAGUAAACUAGAAAAGAAUCAAGAUGGCGUUUCACAUCUUCAAUACGACUGAUAAGUGGAAGUUUCAGAAAGAAAUAAAUAUGACUGUAUAUGAGAUGCUCAUAAAAUCUUCUAUAGCCAAAGGAGAUGAAUCUGCAAUAAAAGGAAACCGAAGGUUGCAUUACUAGUAAAGAUAUAAUUACCAAGUUGAUGGUGCGAGUACAAAUAUUUACUUGGAGUAACAUUGAUGAGGGGAACAUAAGAGAUGUAGCUGUCUAAUGAAAGUGAGUGAAGAAGAAAUGGAUGCUAAAGUAAACAAGAAAAUGGUCAAGAUGGCUUAUGUAUCUUAAGUGAAAGUGUGCAACUGAUGAAUGGAAGCUAUAGAAAGAAACAGAUGUGAGUUUGGCUGAAAGCUAGACUAUAGCACUCUUCAUAGUGAUUUAAAUCUGCAGAAAAGCUAAACAUUAAUUUAGAUGUAAACAGAUAAAUCUGCACUCUUAAUACAAUAUCAUUGUUCAAUGAAUAUUUAGAUGUAAACAUUAUACAAUAUUGUUGUAUGAUUGUAGAUACA